rnacentral:rRNA from 1 species
AACGAACGCUGGCGGCAUGCCUAACACAUGCAAGUCGAACGAGACCUUCGGGUCUAGUGGCGCACGGGUGCGUAACGCGUGGGAACCUGCCCUUAGGUUCGGAAUAACUCCCCGAAAGGGUGCUAAUACCGGAUAAUGUCUUCGGACCAAAGAUUUAUCGCCUUUGGAUGGGCCCGCGUUGGAUUAGCUAGUUGGUAGGGUAAAAGCCUACCAAGGCGACGAUCCAUAGCUGGUCUGAGAGGAUGAUCAGCCACACUGGGACUGAGACACGGCCCAGACUCCUACGGGAGGCAGCAGUGGGGAAUAUGGGACAAUGGGCGAAAGCCUGAUCCAGCAAUGCCGCGGGAGUGAUGAAGGCCUUAGGGUUGUAAAGCUUUUUUACCCGGGAUGAUAAUGACAGUACCGGGAGAAUAAGCUCCGGCUAACUCCGU